rfam:Nematostella vectensis strain CH2 x CH6 NEMVEscaffold_251_Cont20872, whole genome shotgun sequence.
GACUCCUAGGAGCAAUGGUAGCGCAUCUAACUCCAGAUCAGAAAGUUGUGUGUUCAAAUCACGUCGGGGGCA